rnacentral:rRNA from 1 species
GCGCAGCAGUCGCGCAACCUCUGCAAUACGCGAAAGCGUGACAGGGCUACCCCGAGUGCCGUCCGCUGAGGAUGGCUUUUCUCCGGUGUAGUAAGCCGGAGGAAUAAGGAGAGGGCAAGUCUGGUGUCAGCCGCCGCGGUAAUACCAGCUCUCCGAGUGGUAGGGACGAUUAUUGGGCCUGAAGCGUCCGUAGCCGGCCAAGCAAGUUUCCCGUUAAAUCCAGCGAUCCAAUCGUUGGACUGCGGGAAAUACUGUUUGGCUAGGGGGCGAGAGAGGCCAACGGUAUUCCCGGGGUAGGGGUGAAAUCCCAUAAUCCCGGGAGGACCACCAGUGGCGAAGGCUGUUGGCUAGAACGCGCUCGACGGUGAGGGACGAAAGCUGGGGGAGCGAACCGGAUUAGAUACCCGGGUAGUCC